rnacentral:rRNA from 1 species
CCUACGGGAGUCAGCAGUGAGGAAUAUUGGUCAAUGGGCGCGAGCCUGAACCCGCCAAGUCGCGUGAGGGAAGACGGUCCUAUGGAUUGUAAACCUCUUUUGUCGGGGAGCAAAAGACGCCACGCGUGGCGUUCCGAGAGUACCCGAAGAAAAAGCAUCGGCUCACUCCGUGCCAGCAGCCGCGGUAAUACGGAGGCUGCGAGCGUUAUCCGGAUUUCUUGGGUUUAAAGGGUGCGCAGGCGGAAGAUCAAGUCAGCGGUAAAAUUGAGAGGCUCAACCUCUUCGAGCCGUUGAAACUGGUUUUCUUGAGUGAGUGAGAAGUAUGCGGAAUGCGUGGUGUAGCGGUGAAAUGCAUAGAUAUCACGCAGAACUCCGAUUGCGAAGGCAGCAUACCGGCGCUCAACUGACGCUCAUGCACGAAAGUGUGGGUAUCGAACAGGAUUAGAUACCCUGGUAGUC